AUGCAGAAGAACUUCGACAAGAUCCAAGAAAAUUUUAGACGUCUGCUGUUGGAACCGGAGCAGGCACAAGAUGAUGGUGUGGAAGGGCAGGGCACCGUUCAGUUAAAGCAUGACCAGAUGAAUUCACCGAAAAUAGCCCCAGGUCGACCCAAGCAACUUCCUAUCCCUACUCCUCCUUCCGUAGCUAUGCCCGAAAAAGGGGCUGCCUUGCCGAUUGGUACUGCAACUCCGAGAGACCAUGCGGGCAAAGAACUGCAUCUAGAUGGUACACCCAAAGCACCAUAUAGGCACCCCAACUAUGGUCAGGCAAAGGACACAGCGCCAAAUAAUGUUGUGCAGCUUGAUGAGACACCAGAAGACGAGAUUGCUGAUCCGGUUUAUAGAAGAGGACAGAACUUUCAAGAUGGAAGAAGAAAUACCCUUACUGUCAAGCCAGCUAAAUUGAACAAUUCUGAGUUUGAGGGACAGGACCCUGAAUCCUGGAUUCAGAACCUUGAGCAAUACUUUGCUGCAGCCCGAACAACAAUUGAGCAUAGAACUGAAGUGGCUAUUUCUUACCUCAAGGGCCCUGCAGUGCAGUGGUGGAGGGGAACUGGAUAUGCCUCUAGUAAUGUCCCAUGGCAUAAGUUUUGCUCAUAUCUGUCUGACAGAUUUUCAGUGGACUCAGCUUGUGAUAUUGUGAGUUCUUUCCAUGCAGUUCAGCAAACAACUACAGUCUCGGCUUAUGUGGAGCAAUUUGAGCAGUUAAUGAAUGUUAUGAGAAGGGAAAAUCCUGCAAUCCCAGAUGAUUAUUAUGUUGCUAGUUUUGUGUCAGGGUUGAGCACCUAUAUUAAGAGCCAUGUGGAAUGUUUCAAGCCCAAGGUCAUGCAAACUGCAGUUUGGUAUGCUAGGAGAAUGGAAAUGCUAGGAGAAUGGAAAAAUCUCAGUCCCCAAAUGUGGUUGUGCAGACCAGGCCAUAUGUUCCUCAACCAAAAAGACAGGUCCUAUUUGAGCAGCCCAAGCAAGUACUCACAUGUACUAUUCCUAAUAGAAACACUGUGA
rnacentral:rRNA from 1 species